rnacentral:rRNA from 1 species
ACAAAACAAUGCUGGGGCUAAGCGGCCGGCAUGUAUAAUUCCCCAUAGGCACGUGUACUUCCACCGCUGUAGAGCUUGCUUAUCCACUCGUGUCUCCACCGAGAAGCACAUCUGCAAUUCUGCUUCUGCCCAGACUGAGCAUGUAGCUUCUCUUCCGAGAGAUCCACAUCCCGACCUCCCGUUGCUCUGGGACACGCCGCCGCUGCCGCUUACGCCUACCGCCGCCAGGAUCCCCCGUCCCAAGCUCCACCCGGCCAUGGCGCGGGCAGAUGGGAAACCCCCCCACUCCACCGGUCAUUGCGUGAGCUACACACCCGCGCCACCGGGGAGUCUCCAAUGACGGAGAUGACCGGCUCCUCUGCAGAGGAGUUGGCACCGGCCAGCUAGAGGCCGCCGUCGCUCCAGCACCGACGGCCACUCACUCUCGUAGAGGCCGGCCCUGUCGCCUUGUUACUACGUCCUCGCCUUGUCCUGUGCUCGUUCGCCAUGGAUCUUGCUUCAGUGUUCCUCUUUCGGUCUCUGCUCUCUCUGUUUGCUGAUUUGCAGCCAGCAACACACCAAUUUGGUGUCUUAUUUUCCACUUUUACUCGCUCAAAUAGUCUAUAAAUUUAUCUGUUUGUUGAUUCUCUAGUCAGCUUGUUGAUUUCCGGGCAACUCGCGAUGGUAUAUAAAUUGGUGCCGCCUCCCCGCCAUGGCCGCCGCCCCCCACAAGCUUGCACCGCGGUGGUCCGCCGCUCCGACGCCGAAGAACUCCUCACUCCGGCCGACUCUCCAUGUUUUCCUCCUUCAUCUCCACGCAUGUCUCCCGCCUCGCUGUCGUCGCCUGAUGCGGGCACCCGAGCGCAGCGCCGCCUCCCUGCCAUGGCCGCCCCGGCAAGUUAGAAACUUCGCCCGUCCACGCAGAUCGAGCAAGGGGAGGCCGGCGGACGGGCGGAUCAACGCGGGAGGCUUGGUUGUGGCUGGAUCCAGG